AACGCACAUUGCGCUCUCUGGUAUUCCGGAGAGCAUGCUUGUUUGAGUAUCAGUAAAACACCCUCAGCCUUUUCUUUAUUGAAAGGGCUGGACUUGAGUGAUCCCAACGGUUUUUUUUUAAAGGCUGGCGGGUUGCUUGAAAUGCAGGUGCGGCUGGACACAUCUUCUGAGCUAUAAGCAUUACCUAUUUAGUCCCGUCAAACGGAUUAUUUCUAUUGCUACAGCUAAUAUAAAGGUUGAUUGUCCUGUGCCCGACUGAUGCAGGAAAACAUGGAGAAAUCCUUGUUCAACUCGAUCUCAAAUCAAGUAAGACUACCCGCUGAACUUAA
rnacentral:misc_RNA from 1 species